rfam:Lepisosteus oculatus linkage group LG1, whole genome shotgun sequence.
AUUAGCAGCCAUAUCACUCUGCAACUCACAACUGGCAACCCACUGAAGCUCAGCAGGUGUGAGCCUGGUCAGUACCUGGAUGGGAGACCUCCUGGGAAAAAACUAAGGUUGCUGUUGGAA